CACCGCUUUAGGAAAACAGUCCUCUUCUGCGCCCGGGCGUGAGGUCCUUCAGUGCUGCAGCGAUUUUGCUGGGGUUGUAGGCCCUAAACAGGGGUUUUCUUUUAAAGGAAAUGACCAGAGUGCAAGCAGCAGUGCUCUCUAUUGCUAUGUUCUGAGCACAGGAGGACAUGAGGACCUGAUGGGGCAGGAAGGACCAUGGGAAUGAAAGAUGAUCAACCACACCAAUGCAGUGACUCAGUUCUCAACUCAUGCUUUGGUGAUCUUUUUGGAGCCAGAAAAUAAAAACAAAAAUCCUCAGAUAAUGUUAAGGAGAGGCCCCUGGACCAAGACGGCAGGCUAAGAGAAGAGCAAACUUUCCACAAUGUCAACUGUCACGGAUUUUUCCUCUGUUGUACAACUGAGCAGAGGCAAAGUGGUUUAUAAAGUUUCAGAUUCUAGAAGGUAUGGAUUCUGCUGGGAAGAAGAUCCGAGUGGCUCUCCACUUUAAACACAGCCCUGUUCCAUCGUUUCUGAGCCGAUGCUGACCUGACGGUAUUUGAAAGCAGCUUCUGCAGUGGCUGUCCCUGAGUCCUCACCUGCACUUUCCUCUGAGGCUUCCUUCCCUUUGCGUUUGCCUUGUUCUCAGGCGGGGAUGCAUGCAGGCCUGGAAGAGACUGCAGGGGACCCAUAGAGGAUGGCGAAGGUCUUCAGGGUCACUCAUGGUAUUCUGAGUGCAGUAAACAUCCUCGGUAUGGUGCACCUGGAGACAGUGACCGUGUGCACUUCCGAGUGUCUAGGCAUUGGAGUCUGACAGGCUUGGGUUCGAAUUCACCUCUUCUGCCUAGAUGAAUUGGCCUAAGCAAAUCUCUCUCUGAGACCCAGUUUCUUUGUCAGCAGAAAUGAAUACCAAUUGUAUAGGCCAUGUAUGAAGACUAGGAGAGACUGUGUACACAGCACAGUGCCUCUCACGGAGUAGACACUCCAUGCUAAGGAUGUUUAUUAACAGGAAGUGAAGCUUGCAUUGGAGAAAAAGGGAAAAAGGGUGCUGCUCGUUGGUUUUAAAUGUGUACAUUUGAUGUUGUAUUUCUUUUCCUCUCCCUCUGAAUAAAAUUGUCUUUUAAUUAGAUAAAUUAAUCUUCUUUUUUCUAAUUGACAGACUCACCAGAAAAAUCUUCUUAGU